rnacentral:rRNA from 1 species
GACGAACGCUGGCGGCGUGCUUAACACAUGCAAGUCGAACGGAAAGGCCCUGCUUUUGUGGGGUGCUCGAGUGGCGAACGGGUGAGUAACACGUGAGUAACCUACCCUUUACUUUGGGAUAACUUCAGGAAACUGGGGCUAAUACCGGAUAGGAGCUCCUGCUGCAUGGUGGGGGUUGGAAAGUUUCGGCGGUUGGGGAUGGACUCGCGGCUUAUCAGCUUGUUGGUGGGGUAGUGGCUUACCAAGGCUUUGACGGGUAGCCGGCCUGAGAGGGUGACCGGCCACAUGGGGACUGAGAUACGGCCCAGAAUCCUACGGGAGGCAGCAGGGGGGAAUAUUGCACAAUGGGCGGAAGCCUGAUGCAGCAACGCCGCGUGCGGGAUGACGGCCUUCGGGUUGUAAACCGCUUUCGCCUGUGACGAAGAGUGAGUGACGGUAAUGGGUAAAGAAGCACCGGCUAACUACGUG